AAGAGACAGCAGUAGCCGCGGUAAUACAGAGGGUGCGAGCGUUAAUCGGAUUUACUGGGCGUAAAGCGUGCGUAGGCGGCUUUUUAAGUCGGAUGUGAAAUCCCUGAGCUUAACUUAGGAAUUGCAUUCGAUACUGGGAAGCUAGAGUAUGGGAGAGGAUGGUAGAAUUCCAGGUGUAGCGGUGAAAUGCGUAGAGAUCUGGAGGAAUACCGAUGGCGAAGGCAGCCAUCUGGCCUAAUACUGACGCUGAGGUACGAAAGCAUGGGGAGCAAACAGGAUUAGAUACCCGCGUAGUCCCUGUCUCUUAUAC
rnacentral:rRNA from 1 species